GACGAACGCUGGCGGCGUGCUUAACACAUGCAAGUCGAGCGGAGCGGCGAACGGGUGAGUAACGCGGGAGUAACUGCCCCCCUCCCUGGGAUAACAGUUGGAAACGGCUGCUAAUACCGGAUAGUUGGGGAUGACUCGCGGCCUAUCAGCUUGUUGGUGGGGUAGGGGCCUACCAAGGCGACGACGGGUAGCCGGCCUGAGAGGGCGGCCGGCCACAGUGGGCUGAGAGACGGGCCAGACGCCAACGGGAGGAAGCAGUGGGGAAUAGGGCACAAUGGGGGAAACCGUAAUGCAGCAACGCCGGGGGGGUGAUGACGGCCUACCGGUUGUAAACCGCUUUCGGCCAAGAAGCGGUAGUGGCAGAAGAAGCACCGGCUAACUACGUGCCAGCAGCCGCGGUAAUAC
rnacentral:rRNA from 1 species